rnacentral:lncRNA from 1 species
UAAAAGGCAGAUGAAAGGCCAUAACCCACAUCCAUAGUUCAACCUUUCUCCACGUCUUCUUCUUCGAGCCGCUGCCGCUGCCGCUGCCAUUGCAUCUUAGCAAUCCACAAUUACCUGGUCCAGUGUUCGACACAAGCCGCUGUCGCUGCAUCUUUAGUAUCACCACUUCUUAGUAUACAUAUACUCGGCUUCUUUCGCUCGUUGUUUUUCAAUAUGAUUACUGGUUCUCUCUAUACAUAUAGUCGACAAUAUCUUAGCCCUUCUUCUUGAUUGUGUAUUUAUAAUUUUUCAUUUGAAAUAUCCGAUAUCACUACUUGUUUUACAUAUAGUCGGCCAAUAUUUGGUAUCACUCGUUGUUUUACUUUGAUUGUAAAUUUUGAAUGAGAUUAGAA